UAGGUCGACCCGCUGAAUUUAAGCAUAUCACUAAGCGGAGGAAAAGAAACUAACCAGGAUUCCCCUAGUAACGGCGAGUGAAGAGGGAAAAGCCCAGCACCGAAGCCUGUGGCAAUUUUGCUGCUAGGCAAUGUGGUGUUUAGGUCGGCUCGUGGGAUCGCCACUCCACUCGAAGUCCAGCAUUGAGUAUGGUUCCCAGGAAUUGGCCCAUAGAGGGUGAAAGGCCCGUACGAGUGGAUGUGUCAGAUAUGUAAGGCGAUUCACCAGGCCGGCCUUAGAGUCGGGUUGUUUGCGAAUGCAGCCCAAAGUGGGUGGUAAACUCCAUCCAAGGCUAAAUACUAGCACGAGUCCGAUAGCGAACAAGUACCGUGAGGGAAAGUUGAAAAGUACUUUGAAGAGAGAGUAAACAGUACGUGAAACCGCAUAGAGGUAAACGGGUGGCGUCAAGCUGCAAGCCCAGAGAAUUCAGUCGGUCAGGGUGUUGUCAUGCGCCCAGCGCAUCUAUCAGUCGGUGUAGGAUUUGGCUAGUCCGCUUGAAGAUGGCGGGCCCAGCUAGCAAUAGCUGGGAUUUGCGUACCGGGCGGUAGCCGGAGCAUGCUAGCCGUCUGUAGGACUGCCUGGCCGAUGCACUUUCUCUGUUGGUGAACACCACGACCGGUGGUACUGCCAGUCUGCUGUAGCCAGCUUCGUUGCAUACUCUGGCCUUUUGGUUGGGGCGUGUGGCGAUCACAGACAAUUUCAGUGCACGGUGCUUGUGUGUUUUUCGCAUGCGGGCAUGUUAUCGGGAACUGGUUGUAAACGGGUCGGCCUGUCGACUUGUCUGUAGUCGUGGUUGAUGGGUGACCCGGUGGGCUAUGGUGGUAUGAAUAACUGUGCAGGGCACCGGAGUUUUCGGUCCGACCAGCAGUAGUCGUUCGCGGCUGCUGUUGCCGGCUGCAUACGCACUGCAGUUUAGCGUGUGCACUGUCUUUGGCAGUAGUACGGGCGGCGCUGUUUACGGCCUGCCAGUCGUUGGGUCUGAUUGUCGUGUCGCCUGCCAAAAUGGUGGGUCCGGCGGUGGCCUGGCGUUGGAUGGUGCCUGUAGACGGAGCUGUCGUUGUGCAGCCGGUAUUUGUGUGCGCGACCUUAUAGUCUGUGGUGUAGUGGUAGACGAGCUACCCGACCCGUCUUGAAACACGGACCAAGGAGUUUAACAUGCGCGCGAGUCAUUGGGUCCUACGAAACCCAGAGGCGCAGUGAAAGUAAAGCUUCGACAUAUAUUGUUCUCGGGGUGUGGUGAGAUCCUGCUGUUUCUCGCAUACAUUUGUCCAGCACUGGGCUAACUAAACGAGCAGUGGGCGCAUCACCGGCCCGUCCCAUGAUGUGGCUAUCUGUCAGUGGCAGUUGUCGCCUUACGGUGGUGGUUGCUUUCUGCGGGUACGUCAUCGGGGCGGAGCAUGAGCGCGCAUGUUGAGACCCGAAAGAUGGUGAACUAUGCUUGCGUAGGUUGAAGCCAGAGGAAACUCUGGUGGAGGACCGCAGCGAUUCUGACGUGCAAAUCGAUCGUCAAACGUGAGUAUAGGGGCGAAAGACUAAUCGAACCAUCUAGUAGCUGGUUCCCUCCGAAGUUU
rnacentral:rRNA from 1 species